rnacentral:lncRNA from 1 species
AACCUGAAAAUAUCUCUGACUGUGUGUCACCAGACCACACAAUGAAUACAUCACUUAGGUUAGCAUGAGAAAAAGGGAAAAACAGCUGUGAAGCCCAUGAACUUUCCAAGAAGGUAAAGGAGAAAAAAAAAAAAAAAGAUGGGUUUGAAGUCUAAGUUUUACUAUGAACAGCACCCUGCUGAGAUCAUAAAAAUGAAAAAUACCAUCAAGAUACAUGAAAAAGGAAACACCAAAGGGAAGAGUGAUAACAAGGCUCCACAGAGUGCAGUUUCCUUUGACAAGAUGAAAAAGAAAUGAAAAGAGGAAGGAGAUAAAUGGAACAGCCCUCUACCUAAAGUUUCUGUCCAUGGAGAAACUGACAUUUAAGUGCUGCUCAACAGGAAAAAGAAAAAAGACCUGGUUAUUGAAGUUGGCUUUGUUGGAGAUGCGUUACUCAGAUACAGAUACAAAGAUGGGUUUGGCCAAUGGGCAUCCGUGUCAAGAAGCCUGACCUAACACGUUCUGAAUAUUAAGCUACCUUUUAUCUGCCAGUCCUUGGUGUUCAGAAGAAUCCCUCCUCCUCACCCUAACUUCUAUGGGGCUAUUUACAAAGACACUGUCAUUGAAGUGAGGAAGAGUGAGUUGGGCCUUAUGACACAAAGAGACAAGACUAUUUGAGGACAACAGACACAGGUUUUCAUAUACAUUCCAUGUUAUUCUGAAUUACUGAUGGGUUCACUG